rnacentral:rRNA from 1 species
UAUGUGAUCGUCUCUCGCAUAUCAAUAAGCGGAGGAAAAGAAACUAACAAGGAUUCCCCUAGUAACGGCGAGUGAAGCGGGAAGAGCUCAAAUUUGAAAUCUUAAAGGGUUUCCCUUUACGAAUUGUAGUUUAAAGAAGUGUUUUCUGUUGAGGUUUUGGUAAAAGUUCUUUGGGAUAGGACAUCAUAGAGGGUGAGAAUCCCGUAUUUGACCUUUACUUUCAACUUUGUGAUACACUUUCAAAGAGUCGGAUUGUUUGGGAAUGCAGUCCAAAAUGGGUGGUAAAUUUCAUCUAAAGCUAAAUAUUGGCGAGAGACCGAUAGCGAACAAGUACCGUGAGGGGAAGAUGAAAAGAACUUUGAAAAGAGAGUUAAACAGUACGUGAAAUUGUCAAAAGGGAAGCGUUUGACACCAGCGUUGUUUUUCUGAAAAUCAAUUAAAGAACUGUUUAUGCUAAGUUGUUUAGACUUUAUCAGCUAACUGUUUAGUUUUGAGCUUUUCUUUAAUGCACUUUUCAGUUAACAAGUCAACAUCAAUUUCUUUUGCUGUAAAAAAGCUUGAGGAAGGUGGCUUGAGAUUCGUCUUAAGUGUUUAUAGCCUCUUGCCUAUGCAGUCGGAGAGAUUGAGGUCUGCAGCGUAGAUCCUUCGGGGCUAAAUGCAUUUGUGCUAAGUUAUAACAUUUUAUAGACAACUUGUUGACUAUGAUUUGUCUUGUAGCUUACUCGCUUAUGUUAUUUUACCUACGCUUAGGAUGUGAAGUCAUCGUAUCGCGC